UAAACGACUCUCGGCAACGGAUAUCUCGGCUCUCGCAUCGAUGAAGAACGUAGCGAAAUGCGAUACUUGGUGUGAAUUGCAGAAUCCCGCGAACCAUCGAGUCUUUGAACGCAAGUUGCGCCCGAAGCCAUUAGGUUGAGGGCACGUCUGCCUGGGCGUCCCAC
rnacentral:rRNA from 1 species